rnacentral:lncRNA from 1 species
CUCUAAUAAAAAGAACGAACCUGAAAACGUGGAGUUAUUGUGUUUGGAAAUUGAAUUGGAAGAGAGAUUCUCAGGCGCAGAAGUAACGACGUCUUUUUCUGCUAUUGAUUGUGUAAAGACUGAUGCUUUUCGAGGGAUUGACUGUAGCUUCCAUAGCAAAAAUGGUGGUGCUGUGACGAAGAAUUUGAAAUUAGUAUGAAAAUGCGUAAGUUUCUGAGACAAUAACAUGGAUGAAUUAGGGUAUAAUCGCACAGAAGCCAUUACGGAAUUGUAAGAGCACAG